UCAUCUAGAGUCUUACACUAAGCCUGGGCCUGCAACUAGUCAAGUGGAAUAUGGGCUUAAUUUAGCUGAUAAUGUUCAAAUAACUCGGCCCAUAAUGCUGAAAAUUGAAUACCAGAGGCCCGUUGCGAAGCUGUCUCCCCCGCAGGGCCCGGGCUUGUGUACCAUCCGUCUUCAAGCGUAACGCGCCUUUCCCGUUCUUCUCUCAGGCGCUCACACACACACGCUCUUUCUCAUGGCUGGUCCAAGAAUUUUGCUCUGCGGGGAUGUCGUACGCCGCCUCAACCAGCUCUUCAAGCGUGUACAAUCGGUCACUCUCCAUUUACUACUACAUAUGUUAACAAAUCAGCGGGUCCAUUCGAUGCGCUUCUUUGCGUUGGCCAGUUCUUCCCUGACUCGCCGCAGCUGCUUGAGGAGUUCAUGGACUACAUUGAAGGCCGCUCCCAAAUUUCACUCCCGACCUAUUUCAUAGGCGACUAUGGCAUCGGAGCAACCAAGGUUUUGUCAGCCGCGUAGAAGAACUUGGCGCAUUUAGGGUUCUAGAUGGAUGGCCCGAAGAUAUGUGAGAAUAUGUAUUCCAGAGCCAACUUUACUUUACACGCUUCCUUAAUUAGUUCUCACUAAUGCAUGGCCAGUGGGGUCACAAACAGAGCCGCUGUAUCAGAUGUCUCUACUGGAAUAUCAGAUUCUUCAGGCAGUGAUUUACUGUAUCAGAGCUAAUUGCAGAGAUCAAACCACGUGUAAUUUUGCAGAUUCUUGCUGGCUUGCUGAAAAUGCUACUGGUUUAAUAGGGCUGAUUGUACUCACAAAGAUUUCGCAACCCUUGAUCACCUUGAAGGCUCUUCACAAGAUCACCAUCAAUCCUCGACAGUGCUUCCCUCCUCUGGCGCAUUAAGCUACCAAAAUUUGUUUAUUCUCCUUUUGAUAUAAUGCCUACUAGCCAUACAAAAUUCCCUACGCUAGUUUCCGUAAAUGGCGGGAAUCACUUCGCCGCAAAUUUACAGAAAUGUUUUUCACAGCAGACUUUGGGGUACCUGAUUUUACCUUCCUUAAUGCAGACAUGACGCAAUUAUAGAGAAAUACUAAGACAACUUCCACGCGAGUCGGGUUCGAAUGCCGUAACUAGUUGCCUGGGUACAACAGGCUUGCCCUUUCUAACUUAGAAACUCGUCAAACCUUGACUGGUUAAAUCCUGAAGGAUUAAUGCAUUGUUUUGAGGAAAGACAGUUGAAGCACUAAAAUCUGGUGAUUGAUAUAUAUGCUCCUCCAUCUCCAGCUGCCAUUCGAGCCCAAGUUAUGACAAAUGCAACGAGAGCAGUUCCAUCAAACAAAUUGUGUGGAGUAACAACGUACGCCUAUGGCGAUACCCGCCACAAGCAAACACAUUUACUUGUACCAUACUGGUAUGAGCUCCUGGAGUUACUUCAUCAAAAAGAAUCUCCUCCGGCAUGAAUUUAGGAAUUGUUGAGAUAUCAGGUUGUCUGAGAUAAUCAUUCCAUGCCACCUUUCUGGAUCAUACUCCUAUAAUGUUCAGAUUUUAGUGCAUUGAAGGAACAACUAGUUUCAUUGCAAAUUUCCUUUUGCUUGCUAGUAUGUUGGUAGUAGUAGGAGAUAUGGGGUCGUGCAUACCCUAACAAGGGGCUUUAGAUUCCCUAUGGUUUCCUUCCCGGUUGUGUAGUAAAAAUCGCUGGACUGCAUUUACGUUAUUGCUAAGGUUCAUUCAACUAGUGGAGUA